UGUGCGCAUGGGAACUUGCCUGUCGACUCUGAGGGUGCCAAUACUGUGUACGUCUUUGUUUUAAUUCCUCUUAGGUAAGAAUAGGUCAUAAUGGCACCGGUUUUGAUUGGCACCGGUUUUCACUGCAGAAAAAAAAAAAAGAUAGUUUUUCUGCUUGCAGCAUUUGGCCUCAAGCUAAACAAUGAAGGUUUUAGUCCUACCAGGCUUCUAUAAGGCAGAAUAGAGAUCCUUUGUUGAAGUGGGCCGUGAGAGACGACUCCAGGUUGUGUUUUAUUGAGCUGAAUAUUAGCUCAUGCCAGCAUCUGAGAAGCCCUGAACGUGGACUCUGUGUACCGAGAUGAAGAGUGAUUGACGGGCAGGUUCUGCAAGUCCGGUGUCGUCAGACAGAGGCACUGUCUUCGGAAGCAGAGUCUGCGAGGGAGGGCUCGCUUUGGUCUGAGAGCAUGCACGGAAAGGUGCCAGUGAUAAGCACACCAAGAUAGUCGGUCGUGAUCAUUGGAGGAUGCCGUUAGGAGCAGAGCGGGCGAGGACCAGGCCUCAGAUUCACCAUGGACAGACCAGCAGCGGGCUUUGGCCUUCAGGCUUCAUUUGUGUCAUCUAGCAUUGAGGACAUCUUGACAGAGAAACAGCUCCCACACCUUAAGGGAGGGAGCCAGACUCAGAGAGGAGCAUUAUCUAAUGCAAAUCCAUUCUAAGAAGGUUGUGGGGGCCAUCUGGUGUCCGAUGCAGACAGGACCUGCUGCCAGAGGUGAACUGGGAGGACAAGGGGACAGGGUGAGAGUGAGGGAUGAGUGGCCAGGGGCUGGCUCCUUUUCAGUCAUGUCAAAAAACAGCCCAUCGUCUACGGAUAAAAAGGAGAGGGGGGAGGGAUCACCUUAUGUUGUGGGAAGCAGAUCAAAGCAGAAAAGAUAAUGUCUCCAAAAGAAAAGCGGGCACAAAGCUGCUGCAUGGAUGCUGAGCAAGCCCCCGAGAGAGGAAGAAACUCCGGCCCCUGGAUCCAAGUUAGUCUUCUCAACUGGCUGGGUGGGCGCCUUCAAAGCCAUGGCGAACCCCUCCACUCCUGUUUCAGACCUGAGCUACCCAUAGACAGUAGACAGGGAUGCUUCCUGCGAGUUCUCUCUCUGGGCUUUCUGUUUCCUGAAAAGAUGGAGUCCCCCAUCCACGGCUCUCUAUGUGGAGCUGAAAUAAUUCAUCAAAUAUUUGGAAUGUGUAAUUAAAUAUCUAAUGUCAAUUAGCAAAUUACUAAUGAAAUAAUCAGGGGCUUUUAUGGUUUAUAGUUCAGCUCGGAUUUUCAUUCUAAGUGGUUAUUGAUUCUAAAUAGAGUCUGGUCUGCUUUACAAACCAUUGGGUAGGUGUGUGGGUAUGAAAUGUGGGUGUGGAUAGGGUGGGGGUAUGACCAUUUCAGGUCAUGACAAUGAACAUUGACCUGUGCUGAAUGUCAGGAUGCCAGAUGUCAUAUGCAAGGGGUGUGUGGCCCAGGCCAUUUAGUAGCCAUUGUGCGUCAUUGUUUAUAGUGACACCAGAGAGGGUGGCUGGGCAAGGCCAGUGACUGAGGCAUGAACUCCCAGUUGUAGACCAGUGAGACCAUACAUUAGCAUGCUUCUUAGAGACCCUCUUCUCCCAGGCUUCAGAGCUCAGCUUGAGUGGGCUGGACCAUGUGACAGCCUGAGGCUGCCUUGUUCUUUUGGGUUGGAAGACAACAGUGACAUCCUUGAAAAAGUCCACAUAUGAGACCUCAAAGAAAAUUCCAUUGAACCAUGACUUUGGAUCUGAGUCGGGGUUAGGGUAGGGAUACCUGGUAAUAUGAUAUAAGGUACAUGGUUGCAUAUGGGAUGUGGGGUAGCUGGUUUCAUACGGAGUCUGGGAGCCAGUUGUUAUAUUUGGGGUGCUAGGGCAGAUGGUAAUGUAAGAGAUAUAUGGAGCAUGUCUACCUGUCUAUACAUAGUUUCUUAUAGAUUCUAAGAAGUGUAGUGUUCCUUAGAGGUCAAGAAACAAAUAAACAGGUCCAUCAAGGUUCUUGAAGAUGGAAAUUGAUCCUCUAUGUUGUUGUUGUU